rnacentral:rRNA from 1 species
GACAGAGGAUGCAAGCGUUAUCCGGAAUCAUUGGGCGUAAAGCGCGCGUAGGCGGCCCGGUAAGUCCGCUCUGAAAGUCCAGGGCUUAACCCUGGAAAGCGGGUGGAUACUGCCGGGCUAGAAUCCGGAAGAGGCGAGUGGAAUUCCUGGUGUAGCGGUGAAAUGCGUAGAUAUCAGGAGGAACACCGGUGGCGAAGGCGGCUUUCUGGACAGUAACUGACGCUGAGGCGCGAAAGCCGGGGGAGCAAACAGG